GUUUAAGCUAUGAAGGGCAUACGGCGGAUGCCUUGGCGUUAGCGAGCGAUGAAGGACGUGGACGGCUGCGAUAAGCUUCGGGAAGCUGCCUAGCAGGCUUUGAACCGGAGAUUUCCGAAUGGGGCAACCCGGCAUGGUGAAAGUCAUGUCAACCUGUCAUGAAUACAUAGUGGCAGGUAGCGAACCGAGGGAAGUGAAACAUCUCAGUACCUCGAGGAAUAGAAAUCAAAAGAGAUUCUCCUAGUAGCGGCGAGCGAACGGGGAUUAGUCCAAACCGUAGGUACUUGUACUUACGGGGUUGUGGGGCAAUCAUUAACGGGACCCAAGUUACUAGUAGAACGGUCUGGAAAGUCCGAGCAUAGAGGGUGAUACUCCCGUAUACGAAAGUGACAAAGGCCUAAGAUUGUUCCCGAGUACCACAGGGCACGUGAAACCCGGUGGGAAUCAGGGUGGACCAUCAUCCAAGACUAAAUAUUGCUGACGACCGAUAGCGCAUAGUACCGUGAGGGAAAGGUGAAAAGUACCCCUGCGAGGGGAGUGAAAAAGUACCUGAAACCGUAUGUCUACAAGCUGUGGAAGAGCUAUAUCCAUUUAUGGACAUGCUCGACUGCGUACCUUUUGCAUCAUGGGUUGGCGAGUCAAUUUUUGCAGCAAGGUUAAGCCGUUAGGUGUAGCCGAAGCGAAAGCGAGUCUGAAUAGGGCGAAACAGUUGCAGGGAUUGGACCCGAAGCCGGUCGAUCUACCUAUGGCCAGGAUGAAGCGAAGGUAAAACUUCGUGGAGGUCCGAACCGUUGAAAGUUGAAAAUUUCUCGGAUGAGCUGUGGGUAGGGGUGAAAGGCCAAUCAAGAUCGGUUAUAGCUGGUUCUCCCCGAAAGAUAUUGAGGUAUCGCCUUAAGUUAAUGAGUAUUGGAGGUAGAGCACUGAAUGGGCUAGGGCGCUUACCCGCGUACCAACCCCAAUCAAACUCCGAAUGCCAAUACUUCUAUCUUAGGAGGCAGUCCACGGGUGAUAAGGUCCGUGGGCGAGAGGGAAACAUCCCAGAUCAUCAGCUAAGGUCCCUAAAUCUAGGUUAAGUGGAAAAGGAUGUGGAAACGCAUAAACAACUAGGAGGUUGGCUUAGAAGCAGCAACCCUUUAAAGAAAGCGUAAUAGCUCACUAGUCGAGUGAUUCUGCGCCGAAGAUGUAACGGGGCUCAAACCUAGUACCGAAGCUAUGGGUUAGUAUUUUAUACUAACGGUAGGGGAGCUCUGUAGCGACUGUGAAGGUCUACCGUAAGGAGGGCUGGAGUUUCUACAGGUGAUUAUGCCAACAUGAGUAGCGAUAAAAUAGGUGAGAAACCUAUUCGCCGAAAACCCAAGGGUUCCUGGGGCAGGUUAAUCCUCCCAGGGUUAGUCGGUGCCUAAGCCGAGGGCGAAAGCCGUAGGCGAUGGAAAGCAGGUUAAUAUUCCUGCACCACCUUAAGUCUCUAUGAAACGAGGAGGGACGGAGAAGGGUAGAUCAGCCAGGUGAUGGAUAUCCUGGUUGGGUGAUUAGGUGGACCCCUUAGGAUAAAAACGGGGGGUUAUUUAAACACUGAGUAAGCCGAGGCUCUAAAUCUUAGGAUGCGGAGUAACUGAUCGAUCCCAUGCUUCCAAGAAAAGCUUCGCGUGGAGGGCUUAGGGUGACCGUACUGUAAACCAACACAGGUGGGUGGGGAGAGUAUCCCAAGGCGCUUGAGAUAACCGUGGUUAAGGAACUCUGCAAAUUGGCACCGUAACUUCGGGAGAAGGUGUGCCCUCGCAGGUGAAGAGCUUUACGCUUGGAGCCAGAGAGGGUUGCAGUGACCAGGGGCUGGCGACUGUUUACCAAAAACACAGGUCUCUGCUAACGCGAAAGCGGAUGUAUAGGGGCUGACGCCUGCCCGGUGCCGGAAGGUUAAGGGGACGUGUUAGAAGCUUGCUUCGAAGCUCUGAACCGAAGCCCCGGUGAACGGCGGCCGUAACUAUAACGGUCCUAAGGUAGCGAAAUUCCUUGGCGGGUAAGUUCCGUCCUGCACGAAUGGCGUAACGAUCGGCCCACUGUCUCAACCACGGACUCAGCGAAAUUGAAGUCGCGGCGCAGAUGCCGUGUACCCGCAGCAAGACGGAAAGACCCCGUGAACCUUUACUAUAGCUUGACACUGAUAUUCGAUUUAAUUUGUGUAGGAUAGGUGGGAGGCGUUGAAACCAGGCCGCUAGGUCUGGUGGAGCCAACCUUGAAAUACCACCCUGAUUAAUUUGGCUAUCUAACUUGGGUCCGUUAUCCGGAUCGAGGACAGUGUCUGGUGGGUAGUUUGACUGGGGCGGUCGCCUCCCAAAAAGUAACGGAGGCGCGCUAAGGUUCCCUCAGGCUGAUUGGAAACCAGCCUUCGAGUGUAAUGGCAUAAGGGAGCUUAACUGCGAGACCGACGGGUCGAGCAGGUACGAAAGUAGGUCAUAGUGAUCCGGUGGUUCCGCAUGGAAGGGCCAUCGCUCAACGGAUAAAAGGUACUCCGGGGAUAACAGGCUGAUACCGCCCAAGAGUUCACAUCGACGGCGGUGUUUGGCACCUCGAUGUCGGCUCGUCACAUCCUGGGGCUGAAGUUGGUCCCAAGGGUUCGGCUGUUCGCCGAUUAAAGUGGCACGCGAGCUGGGUUCAGAACGUCGUGAGACAGUUCGGUCCCUAUCUGCUGUGGGCGUAGGAGAAUUGAAGAGAGCUGACCUUAGUACGAGAGGACCGGGUUGGACGAACCGCUGGUGUUCCGGUUGUUUCGCCAGAAGCAUUGCCGGGUAGCUACGUUCGGAACGGAUAACCGCUGAAAGCAUCUAAGCGGGAAGCCUCCUCUGAGACUAAUUCUCCCGUGGAACUUUAUGUUCCCCAUAAGACCCGUUCUAGACUAGGACGUUGAUAGGCCAGGGGUGGAAGCGCAGUAAUGUGUGAAGCUGACUGGUACUAAUUGGUCGAGAGGCUUGAACAC
rnacentral:rRNA from 1 species